rnacentral:rRNA from 1 species
UGAGGAAUCUUGCGCAAUGGGGGAAACCUUGACGCAGCAACGCCGCGUGGGUGAUGAAGGCCUUCGGGUCGUAAAGCCCUGUCAGGUGGGAAGAAACGUAUCGGUGUUAAUACCACCGAUAUUUGACGGUACUACCGGAGGAAGCACCGGCUAACUCCGUGCCAGCAGCCGCGGUAAUACGGAGGGUGCAAGCGUUGUUCGGAAUUACUGGGCGUAAAGCGCGUGUAGGCGGUCGGGCAAGUCAGAUGUGAAAGCCUUCCGCUUAACGGAAGAAGUGCAUUUGAAACUACCCGGCUGGAGUACGGGAGAGGAGAGUGGAAUUCCCGGUGUAGAGGUGAAAUUCGUAGAUAUCGGGAGGAACACCAGUGGCGAAGGCGGCUCUCUGGUCCGAUACUGACGCUGAUACGCGAAAGCGUGGGGAGCAAACAGGAUUAGAUACCCUGGUAGUCCACGCCGUAAACGAUGGGCACUAGGUGUAGGAGGUAUUGACCCCUUCUGUGCCGAAGUUAACGCAUUAAGUGCCCCGCCUGGGGAGUACGGCCCCAAGGUUA